GGAGGUUGUAGUGAGCCGAGAGCCGAGAUCAUGCCACUGCACUCCAGCCUGGGCAACAGAGCGAGACUCUGUCUCAACAACAACAACAAAAAAGUUCGAUGGUAGUAUAGAGAGGAAGGCCAGCAUCAACGCACCCUGUUUUCUGUAUUAGUAAAACAGUCUUUCAUCUCUACACUUACUAGGUGGUGAGGCUAUAGGAGGGAAUAAAUAGCUUUUGCUGCUUCUGUGCUGGAGGCAGGUGAGGGAGAAGAGAGUUAUGACUGGUGUUUCCUGAGCAAAAUGACAGUGUUUGCCACAAGGGCUCAUAUGGAUUCCUAACUUAACUUGCAGCCCAAGUUAUGGAGUCUGCAACCAAGUGAACCAGACUGCUUAAAAGCUCCUGAAUCCUCACAAAUUUGAUUCCAAACAUUCCUCGCUAAUCGUGUUCCCUUUGCUUAGAAUAUCCCUCACUGCUUUCUCUACCUAUAGAAAUUGUACUCAAUGCUCAAGACCCAGAAACUGUCAAAGAGAAACUUCCACAUUAACACCUCACCUCCUCCAUGAACACUUCCCAAUCUUACUCAUUACUCUUGGUUAGAAUUUCUCUCUUCUUUCUUUAAGAUAUUACUGAGUUUUUUAAAGUGGCUUUUAAAAUGUUUUAUGUUCUGAUAUGUAUUAAGGUGAUUUGUCUGUAUUUAUUAUCAUUCUCACUAGACUGCAAGCUCUGUAAAGUUGGUCUUUUUUUCUGCUUAUCUCUUCCAAAUCACAUUACGAAGUGCUUGGCACAUAGCAAAUGCUCUUUUUUGUUUUUCUCAAAAAAAAUUGUUCAAUUGGAUGCAUCUUAACCAGAAACUUGAUUUAUAUUUAAAAACACUUCUUUGGGAAGAAAUGAAAAAAUAUAGGUAUAUAUUUGUCAUUUGUAAGGCUUCUAUGAAUGCUUAGGUUAAAUUUAUCCACUUAGGUACUCUUAUUUAAUUUUCUUCCUUAAAAAAAUGUGAGUAGUAGACACUUAUCCUUGCAUAAUUUCAAGCACUUCAGUUACUGAAACUAUGAGUGGAUGAUUUACAAAAGGAAACACCAAUUUGAUUCAUCUUUUUUUGCUCAGUCUCGAGGUUGACUGUGCUUUUCAGGUAGAUGGCCUGUUGAACAGGGUUUUAGAGUUCCCCACUGACACAGAAGUCAGAGACAUUCUGUAGUGACUGCAUCUGUAGAUGAUAAAUAAUGCCAGAAUCCACGCUGACUUUAUAUGUCUUUUUUGAACACAGACUAACCUUUAAAGCUAUAAGUUACAAUUUCCCACUGUCUAGUUAGCUGCCAACAACAGGAUGGGUCCCCUGUGUUCAGCUGAACUAACCGAAAUUCUAAAGUUCAAAAAAAAGAGAUGGAGUUUCUUGCUUUAAUAUUGUCUUCUACUUUUCCCUUUCAUUUUUUAAAAUCUUAUAGUUACAUCUUGGAGUUCCGUGGCUUGUUACGCAUUGCUGAACAUUCAAUGCCCAGGGUAAGGUAAACACAAUCCUUUAUAAUCCUUCCCCAAUCCCUUUUGAUUAAAUAUGUUCCACGACUCUGUCUAAGUGAGUGCAAAGGGGCCAGUAAAGCUGCUUCAGCUUAAUUGUUGUUGGCAUUCUUUUUCACUUGGGGCCUUAAUGGGAAGCUUCUCUUUGACAUUUUUUUUUUAGCAGUAAAACUGCCGUGAAUUCCCAUAUACUUUGUAGGAAUGUUUCCAUUAGUUUGAGAGUCUAUAUUUUCCCCUCUAAAGUAACUGCCUAAAAACAAAAUGAAAAUCAGUGUUAGGAAUUCUUGAUGAGAAUCACAGGGCACCAGAUGCCAUCGUUAUAAUUUUUAAAUGUUCCAGGAUACUUCUGAGAAUAAAAGAAGUAAUAUGUGUUUAAGUAUUUUAAGGAUACAUAG
rnacentral:lncRNA from 10 species